ensembl:misc_RNA Y_RNA Y RNA
GGCUAGUAGGAAGGUGGUGAGUUAUCUCAAUGGUUCACAGUCAGGUAUAGGUGGAACUCCUGGCUCUACUCUUCCCCCCUUCUCACUACAGCACUUCACUAGUUCCCA